rnacentral:miRNA from 1 species
UCUGUGUGUGCAUGCAUGCGUGUGUGUGCAUGUGUAUGUAUGUGUGUCUGCGUGUGUGCGUGUGCAUGCAUGUGUGUGCAUGUGUAUGUAUGUAUGUCUGUGCGUGUGUGUGCGU